rnacentral:rRNA from 1 species
CCUACGGGAGGCAGCAGUGGGGAAUAUUGGGCAAUGGGCGCAAGCCUGACCCAGCAACGCCGCGUGAAGGAAGAAGGCUUUCGGGUUGUAAACUUCUUUUAAGAGGGAAGAGCAGAAGACGGUACCUCUUGAAUAAGCCACGGCUAACUACGUGCCAGCAGCCGCGGUAAUACGUAGGUGGCAAGCGUUGUCCGGAUUUACUGGGGGUAAAGGGCGUGCAGCCGGGAAGACAAGUCAGAUGUGAAAUCCCGCGGCUCAACCGCGGAACUGCAUUUGAAACUGUUUUUCUUGAGUACCGGAGAGGUCAUCGGAAUUCCUUGUGUAGCAGUGAAAUGCGUAGAUAUAAGGAAGAACACCAGUGGCGAAGGCGGAUGACUGGACGGCAACUGACGGUGAGGCGCGAAAGCGUGGGGAGCAAACAGGAUUAGAUACCCGUGUAGUC